CGGAUCGCAGUCUGCAACUCGACUGCGUGAAGCUGGAAUCGCUAGUAAUCGCGCAUCAGCCAUGGCGCGGUGAAUACGUUCCCGGGCCUUGUACACACCGCCCGUCAAGCCAUGGAAGUCUGGGGGGACCUGAAGACGGUAACCGCAAGGAGCCGUUAAGGGUAAAACAGGUAACUAGGGCUAAGUCGUAACAAGGUACC
rnacentral:rRNA from 1 species